rnacentral:rRNA from 1 species
GACUAACGCUGGCGGCGUGCCUAACACAUGCAAGUCGAACGGGGUAGCAAUACCCAGUGGCAGACGGGUGAGUAACACGUGGUCAACCUACCUCUGUGUGGGGGAUAACUAACCGAAAGGUUAGCUAAUACCGCAUACGAUCGUAUCGGGGCAUCCUGAAACGAUGAAAGGAGCAAUCCGCACGGAGAGGGGACUGCGUCCCAUUAGUUAGUUGGUGGGGUAACGGCCUACCAAGACUCCGAUGGGUAGCUGGCUUGAGAGAGCGACCAG